rnacentral:rRNA from 1 species
GAUGAACGCUGGCGGCGUGCCUAAUACAUGCAAGUUGAACGCUCAAGCUUGGUGCUUGCACCGAGCGGAUGAGUUGCUGACGGGUGAGUAACGCGUAGGUAACCUGCCUCUUAGCGGGGGAUAACUAUUGGAAACGAUAGCUAAUACCGCAUAAAAGCCGAUAUCGCAUGAUAUUGAUUUGAAAGGUGCAAUUGCAUCACUAAGCGAUGGACCUGCGUUGUAUUAGCUAGUUGGUGAGGUAACGGCUCACCAAGGCAACGAUACAUAGCCGAACUGAGAGGGGGAUGGGCCACACUGGGACCGAGACACGGCCCAGACACAUACGGGGGGCAGCAGUAGGGAAGCUUCGGCAAGGGGGGAGACGCUGACCGAGCAACGCCGGGUGGGUGAGGAAGGUUUUCGGAGCGUAAAGGACUGUUGUAAGAGAAGAACGAGUGUGAGAGUGGAAAGUUCACACUGUGACGGUAACUAACCAGAAAGGGACAGCUAACUACGUG